UCUUGCAAACCCUUCAAACGCGCUGCAGGGCCAGGAGGGGAGCUGCCCGGCUGAGGAUCAGGCUCUGGCACGGGUUGGAGAGGCAGGACCCCGGGGGCAUGGGCUCCUGGCGGAGCAGCCUAACCGCACAGGCAGUGCCCAGCCAGUCAGAAGGCCGGGUGAGCAGGCGGUGCCCAGCCGGUCAGAAGGCCGGGUGAGCAGGCGGUGCCCAGCCGGUCAGAAGGCCGGGUGAGCAGGCAGUGCCCAGCCGGUCAGAAGGCCGGGUGAGCAGGCGGUACCCAGCCGGUCAGAAGGCCGGGUGAGCAGGCGGUGCCCAGCCGGUCAGAAGGCCGGGUGAGCAGGCGGUGCCCAGCCGGUCAGAAGGCCGGGUGAGCAGGCGGUGCCCAGCCGGUCAGAAGGCCGGGUGAGCAGGCGGUGCCCAGCCGGUCAGAAGGCCGGGUGAGCAGGCGGUGCCCAGCCGGUCAGAAGGCCGGGUGAGCAGGCGGUGCCCAGCCGGUCAGAAGGCCGGGUGAGCAGGCGGUACCCAGCCGGUCAGAAGGCCGGGUGAGCAGGCGGUGCCCAGCCGGUCAGAAGGCCGGGCGAGCAGGCGGUGCCCAGCCAGUCAGAAAGCCGGGUGAGCAGGCAGUGCCCAGCCGGUCAGAAGGCCGGGUGAGCAGGCGGUGCCCAGCCAGUCAGAAGGCCGGGUGAGCAGGCAGUGCCCAGCCGGUCAGAAGGCCGGGUGAGCAGGCGGUGCCCAGCCGGUCAGAAGGCCGGGUGAGCAGGCAGUGCCCAGCUGGUCAGAAGGCCGGGCGAGCAGGCAGUGGCCCCAGCUCCGCAGGCAGGUAAGAGUGGGCUGGAUGCUCCACCUUCUCUUUUCUCUCUUCUGCUCUGAGUGGUUACCAUGGAGACCACCUGGUGAAGAUGUGAUUGACGACAGAAGAUGGGAGGAGCCUGGAUCCCCAGGUGACUUCAUGGUGCAGAGCCUCAUGCUACCGCCCAAAUCAUAUGAGACAGAUGGAGGAACAAGAUACUUUUAGGACGCUAAGAACUGUGGACACAGAGCCCGUCACGGCGUAUUUAUCAAGCGCAGCCCAAUGCACAGCCCGGCUGACGGGUCAUCCCUCAGGUGUCAGACGAUCUGCUUCGGUGUUGUUCACGGAGAACCUGGGCAAACAACCCAGGUUCCUAUGUCAAGAUAAAUCUCUGAUUUGUUUUCAGGACUCGCCAGAAGGGCCGGUUGGAAGGUUCUAGGGGACUCUGAGAAAUCUCUCCCUGGAUUGAAGUUAGGACUGUAUGAAAGCAGUGGGCCGCACGACCCCAGAGGGCACAGCGUGUGAGUCCUCCUUUGGGGAGGGAGUCCUAUGAAGGUGGCUCUCCAGGACCAGCAGGCUCAGAGGUGGACAGUAGCCCCGAGAGGAGCCUCGUCCACAGCGACAGCAGGCCCCUGGCCCCGGCAGUGAGAGCAGCACCGAGCCGCUCCUGCCACCCGCCCUCCCCCGGGCCUGGCCAGGAGCCACUGGGACAGUGGGCGCGGUGUUGGGAAGCCAGUGCUGGUUCAAGACCAGCUUCCACGGCUCUGGACCACACUGAGCAGAAGGACUUCACGCCCCGCGGCUCCAUCAUGGAGCUCCCCUGCUCGAUCUGCAGCAUCGGAGACAUGGA